rnacentral:lncRNA from 1 species
AAAAAUUAAAAUAUGGUUUUUUUGUAUUUAAUUUGUAUUUUAAAAUUUUUAAUAGCCAAAAUUAUUAAAAUGCCCCUGCCACAUCACCACACUUAACGGUUUUGUGGACAAAAAUGGACGGAGGUGAUAAAGUGAGAAAAUUUCAGCCAUUUUUAGAGAUUCUGGGGGUUAAGUGAGAAAACUUCAGUUUCAGAGGGUAAAGUGAGACCGAGCGCCGCUCUAAGGGAUGAAACAGUAAUUAAGC